CGGGUGAGUAACACGUGGAUAACUUACCUAUAAGACUGGGAUAACUUCGGGAAACCGGAGCUAAUACCGGAUAAUAUAUUGAACCCGCAUGGCUCAAUAGUGAAAGACGGUUUUGCUGUCACUUAUAGAUGGAUCCGCGCCGCAUUAGCUAGUUGGUAAGGUAACGGCUUACCAAGGCAACGAUGCGUAGCCGACCUGAGAGGGUGAUCGGCCACACUGGAACUGAGACACGGUCCAGACUCCUACGGGAGGCAGCAGG
rnacentral:rRNA from 1 species